AUCAAUUAAAAAAAUCCUCACACAACUAUGGCAGAGAUGAUAAAUUUUUUCAUGGAUUCCUUUCGGCAAAUUUAGGACUGAUAUAUUCUUUACUUGGCAAACAUCUCUGCGGAACAACCCAAAAAAGCUUUAAAAACUAUUGAAAGCAGCAGGGCAACACAAACAAACUACAAAAUCCUUCAUUUAGCCCAAGCGGAUAUUUCAUUCUCCGGCAACAAUUUGUUUGAAAUCUAUAUCUAAUAACCAGCACGUCACUUUGAAAAUUACAAACACUUGAUACUCUGGAAAUUGUUUCAUCAUGCACGA
rnacentral:misc_RNA from 1 species